AGGGCAGUCGAGCGAAUGGAUUAAGAGCUUGCUCUUAUGAAGUUAGCGGCGGACGGGUGAGUAACACGUGGGUAACCUGCCCAUAAGACUGGGAUAACUCCGGGAAACCGGGGCUAAUACCGGAUAACAUUUUGAACCGCAUGGUUCGAAAUUGAAAGGCGGCUUCGGCUGUCACUUAUGGAUGGACCCGCGUCGCAUUAGCUAGUUGGUGAGGUAACGGCUCACCAAGGCAACGAUGCGUAGCCGACCUGAGAGGGUGAUCGGCCACACUGGGACUGAGACACGGCCCAGACUCCUACGGGAGGCAGCAGUAGGGAAUCUUCCGCAAUGGACGAAAGUCUGACGGAGCAACGCCGCGUGAGUGAUGAAGGCUUUCGGGUCGUAAAACUCUGUUGUUAGGGAAGAACAAGUGCUAGUUGAAUAAGCUGGCACCUUGACGGUACCUAACCAGAAAGCCACGGCUAACUACGUGCCAGCACCGGCGGGUAAUAAA
rnacentral:rRNA from 1 species